rnacentral:rRNA from 1 species
CACGGAGUUAGCCGAUCCUUAUUCGUACGAUACUUUCAACCCGAUACACGUAUCGGGGUUUACCCUCGUACAAAAGCAGUUUACAACUCAUAGAGCCGUCAUCCUGCACGCGGCAUGGCUGGUUCAGACUUGCGUCCAUUGACCAAUAUUCCUCACUGCUGCCUCCCGUAGGAGUUUGGUCCGUGUCUCAGUACCAAUGUGGGGGGUUAACCUCUCAGUCCCCCUAUGUAUCGUCGCCUUGGUGAGCCGUUACCUCACCAACCAGCUAAUACAACGCAUGCCCAUCAUCAACCACCGGAGUUUUCAACCCCAUGCGAUGCCGCAUGAGAUAUUAUGGGGUAUUAGUACCAAUUUCUCAGUGUUAUCCCCCUGUUGAUGGUAGGUUGCAUACGCGUUACGCACCCGUGCGCCGGUCGCCGACAGGUAAUAUUGCUAUCACCCUCGCUGCCCCUCGACUUGCAUGUGUUAAGCCUGCCGCUAGCGUUCAUCCUGAGCC